rnacentral:lncRNA from 1 species
AAGAGGCAUGCCUUGGGUUCCUCAUGAAUGGGCUUGGGGCAUGGCUUGGUGCCUUUUGCUAGCUGGGUCGACUGUCAUGCUAGGAUUUGUGAUUCGGUCAUUGGUUGACCAUGAACUUCUAUUCGGAAGCUGGACUAGUUGAGUGACAUAACUCGGGGAUUGGGCUGGCCGAGCAACACUACUCGGUUGUAGGAUUGGCUGAGCAACACCGCUCCGGCACAUGACUAGCCGAGCAAUACUACUCGGGCACUGACUUAGUCGAGCACACUGCUCGGGCACUGGGUACUGGACUGGUCCAGCAACACUACUUGGGCACAUGAUUGGUCGAGUGACGUGACUCAAGCAUUGGGCUAGUGGAGCAACACUACUCGGGCUUAGGACUGGCCGAACAAUGUUGCUCAGGCACAGGUUUGGCCGAGCAACAUUACUCGAACAUCAAACUGGCCGCAAGCCAUAGCUCGGGCAUCAGAGUGGUCGCGAUGCGUGGUUCGAGCAUUGGACUGACCGUGAGGUGUGGUUUGGGCAUUGGAUUGGCCACAACAUGACUCGGACAUUAGACUAGCCACGAGCCGUGGCUUGGACAUUGGACUAGCCGCGAGGCAUGGCUCGGGCAUUAGAUUGGUCGAGACGUGACUCGGACAUUAGAUCGGCCGCGAGGUGUGGCUCGGCCAUCGGAUUGGCCACGAGGUGUGGUUCAGGCAUUAGACUGGCCGCGACGCGUGGCUCGAGCAUUGGACUGGCCGAGACAUGACUCGGACAUUAGAUUAGCUACGAGGCAUGGCUCGGACAUUGGAUUGGUCGAGAUGCGACUCAAACAUUAGACUGACCGCGAGGCGUAGCUCGGGCAUUGGACUAGCCGAGACGUGACACAGACAUUGUUUGGCAGAGAUGCACAACUCGGGUCCUGUUUAGCUAAGGUGCACAACUCGGACACUGUUUGGCCGAGGUGCGUCAUUCGCGCACUGUUUGGUCGAGGUGCACAACUCUGGUACUGUCGUAUAGGGUCAUCUGGGCCCGGAAGGUGCAGACAUGUUCUGUUGGAUCGGAGCCACCAUCAUAGGCCUCCAACGUCGUGUCACGGACAAACUUCUAAACAUGAUGUUUGAUGUAAUGCUUAUGUAUGUCCGUGUCUUUUGAUAUGUUCAUGUCUUGUACAGCAUGUAGGGGGAUGGCCGAAGGCUUAAUAGUCCCAUUUUAGUUGGGUUGGUGGCCUCUUUAGGCUUGUAAAUAAAGGUUCUGUCAUGUGGACACGUGCGAGAGAUUUUCGGUCUAUAAUGGAUCAUUUUACCCUUUGUUGUGCAACUGUUCAGAGCUUGUAAAGUCUGUUUGUAAUUUGCAUUGUCUAUGAAGUGUUUUUCGGAGAUGUUUGCUUGUAGAUCCCGAUUGAGGCGUUCUCUCUAACCCGUUCUCUCUUUUGUUGGUCCUAAGGGAUAAUGGGAGGCUUCGGGGAGGCUGACCUUUGCGGACGGACACGCAAGGGUGCCGCACGACUUAGGCAAAACCAGCUAAGUCCGUGACAGUCGGGAGGCGAAAGUUGAGGGGGAUAGACUUGUCCUGAAUUUCUUGGGCGAAGGGGGACCCAACCGAGGUACUUUCUGCGAGCUCCUUCUUGGAUUUAUGGAAUUCCCUUUAAACCUCGUCCAGGUGCUGAUUCACCAACUGCAACUGGGCCUGGAAUGAGUCGUCCAUCAAGUCGGAUGAUAAGGUGUUGGCUUCAAAGAAGGUCGAGGCAGCGUGUCUGGGCACAGAGAUGUUGUGCUCUGUCGUUGGCCUUGGGUGUCCCAAUUGCUCCCUAGUUGGGGGGUGGGCAUCUGGAGCCAGAGCUGGCUGGUCGACUGGGGUGGCAUUAUGAGGUGUAGGGAUGAGCGUAGGUUGGAUCACGAGCGACGAUCGUGAGGGGAGAACUGUCUGCUGAGCUAGCUGGGGUAUAAGGGGUGUGAUGGUCUGCAUUAUCCCAACUAACGCUUGCCCCUGGUGGAUGAGGUUGAGGAAUGCCUCGGCUGAGACAGCAGGCUGCCCCAUGAUGGUCUCGGGAUCAUUGAACAGUUGCCAAUAGCGGCUCGGGGUCGCGGUCGAGGUAUUCCCUUCUAGGCUCGGAGGAAGUGGGAGUUGCCCUCCAAACCCGAAGGUCGGGUGAGUCGGGGGUGGCUCUUCUCUGGGACGCUCUCCCGGGUUGCUCGGAUGGGGGCGCUCGUGUGACAUCGGGUCCUUCCUCUAGCGCCAACUUAACCUUCGGAGGGGUCGAGUCGGGAAAUCUCCCUCCCGACCUCGGCCUAUGUACAGGAGCCUGGCAACGAAGAAGCAAGUCAC